GAUGAACGCUGGCGGCGUGCCUAAUACAUGCAAGUCGAGCGAACAGACGAGGAGCUUGCUCCUCUGACGUUAGCGGCGGACGGGUGAGUAACACGUGGAUAACCUACCUAUAAGACUGGGAUAACUUCGGGAAACCGGAGCUAAUACCGGAUAAUAUAUUGAACCGCAUGGUUCAAUAGUGAAAGACGGUUUUGCUGUCACUUAUAGAUGGAUCCGCGCCGCAUUAGCUAGUUGGUAAGGUAACGGCUUACCAAGGCAACGAUGCGUAGCCGACCUGAGAGGGUGAUCGGCCACACUGGAACUGAGACACGGUCCAGACUCCGACGGGAGGCAGCAGUAGGGAAUCUUCCGCAAUGGGCGAAAGCCUGACGGAGCAACGCCGCGUGAGUGAUGAAGGUCUUCGGAUCGGAAAACUCUGUUAUUAGGGAAGAACAAAUGUGUAAGUAACUAUGCACGUCUUGACGGUACCUAAUCAGAAAGCCACGGCUAACUACGUG
rnacentral:rRNA from 1 species